CUGAUUUGUUUUAGAAAGGAUGCUUUCCAUGACUUUGAAUGGAGACUGUAAAACCAUAAUGCAGGGGAAGUUUACAGGCUCUAACCACUAAACUUAUUGAACAAUCCAGGAGACAUUGCUGUCCUUUUUCAUGAGCUGAAGGAUCGAAUUGACUUUCCAGUUGGAUUUUGAAAAAGACAUUGCCUCAACCUACUUUGUAACAAUGAACCUGCCAGAUCAUUGUUGGCCUGCGUCCCACAGCCGAGCAUGCUACUCUCGUUGUGUGUGCAGAGGCAGCUGCAGACGGAUCGCCUCGGUUUGGUUUCAUCGUGGACAAAUUUCAUGCCUUUGAAGUGGAGCUUGAUCCGCCGACAACAAAGGGACUUUCAGCCUGAGAGCAACAAGGGUAACCCAGUCACCUGUGCCUCCCCCUGCACAUGCACAUGGUCUGACUUAUGGACUAUUUACAUGACGAGUUAAUCCUGUAUUUAAUAGCCAACAUUAAUCGACUCGUGAUCGCUUCUCAAACGGAACUAUUUCUUAUUGACGCUGAAGAAGAGGCACUGAAUUGGAUAUCUCAAUCCGGAUUUGUUCCUCCCCACACAAGGCAGAGAUGACCUUCUUAUGACCUUUACAUUAAAGCAAAUGAUGCGUAUUGUGGCUGAGAGCAAGAGUAUCACCUCCCUUCUGCAGUAACAUCCCACUGCAACCAGUUGGAGCCGGUCCAGUUUUAAAUUUAGGUUCACCUCAGACCACACACCAUCAUUACGUCUGACGAUAGAAGGGGAGAUGAGAGCCGCCGGCCCUGUCUGUGAUUCUAGGAGGGGGAGCUCAUCAUCGCUGCUGUGUGGAGCAGCGUGAGGCUGGGUUGCCCGGGACUGUUGGUAUUGAGCAGGGAGGAGCGCCCCGGGCACAAUCCAUCAAAAAGAAGCUGCCUGGGCACCGUGGGAAUAGACAUGAAUAAUCCAUGCUUUCUUUACCCUUUCCUGUGUUACUGCCUCAAACAGAAGGACUGGCUCUAUUUUCACACCUCCUGCAUCCACCCUCCUCGCCUCACUGCACAGGGCUGACUUCAGGUCUCUCAGGUUGUUUCCCUCGAGAUGCAGCCUGUGUGGAAGCACAGCGUUUGGUUUCUGGAAGGAGACUGCACUUCACUGUUUGCCGGAGCUGGGACAAAAGCUUAACAUGCACAGGGAGAAAUGGAUCAGGCCAGCCGGGUGGGUGGAAGCUGUGCAAUUAUCUCUGGUUCCUGUGAUGGCAAUGAUUGCUGCAACAGCCGAGUGGUCCCAGAGCACAGCAGGUGUGACUGUCUGGCUGCAGGUUGGUGGGCCUGUCGCUGGAUAUGAUUGCACAUGAGCAGUUUGGAUGUUGUGACACUGAAGAGCAGAGUGUAGUUUGUUUUCUGUUGAUUGUUUUUAACUAAAUAAUUUAACCUUAAAGUCUUGAAAUGUAUAAAUUGCGUGCUGAACUAAAGUCACCCGAGAAUCAGACAACAUAUAUCACAUUAGACACUUUCAGCUUACCUUUCAUCUUUACCCUUGAUAACAGCAUCAGCAUGUUAUUUGUCAGCACUCUAUGUUUCACAUCUCUGUAUAAUAAUCUUGAAAACAGAUUGGUGUUGACAGAUAUGGCGUGGCACUGAUUAAAGCAGACCAAACAGA